rnacentral:rRNA from 1 species
UACGUAGGGUGCAAGCGUUGUCCGGAAUUAUUGGGCGUAAAGAGCUCGUAGGCGGUCUGUCGCGUCGGAUGUGAAAAUCCAGGGCUCAACCCUGGACCUGCAUUCGAUACGGGCAGACUAGAGUUCGGUAGGGGAGACUGGAAUUCCGGGUGUAGCGGUGGAAUGCGUAGAGAUCCGGAAGAACACCGGUGGCGAAGGCGGUCUGCUGGGGGUGAGGCUGACGCUGAGGCGCGACAGCGUGGGGGAGCAAACAGG